CUGGAGCCAGCCCUGGCCAGGAGGCUGCUAAUGAUCCCUAGAACUGGUAACACAUGGGCCCAUAGCAAUAUGGCUCAACCCUGGCCAGGAGGGACCAUCUCUAGAGGAGUUCAGUGUCCAGGGCCAUCCAGUCCUUGGCCUCU
rnacentral:sRNA from 1 species